UAUACCACUGUGAGAGGGACAGGGGGAAUAAUGGGGGUGCGAGUGUUAAUGUGAUUUGCUGGGGUUAAAGCGAGUGUAGGUGGUUAAUUAAGUAAAAUGUGAAAUCCCCGAGCUUAACUUGGGAAUUGCAUUCGAUACUGGUUAGGUAGAGUAUGGGAGAGGAUGGUAGAAUUCCAGGUGUAGCGGUGAAAUGCGUAGAGAUCUGGAGGAAUACCGAUGGCGAAGGCAGCCAUCUGGCCUAAUACUGACACUGAGGUGCGAAAGCAUGGGGAGCAAACAGGAUUAGAUACCCUUGUAGUC
rnacentral:rRNA from 1 species